CCUACGGGGGGCAGCAGUCGAGAAUCAUUCACAAUGGGGGAAACCCUGAUGGUGCGACGCCGCGUGGGGGAAUGAAGGUCUUCGGAUUGUAAACCCCUGUCAUGUGGGAGCAAAUUAAAAAGAUAGUACCACAAGAGGAAGAGACGGCUAACUCUGUGCCAGCAGCCGCGGUAAUACAGAGGUCUCAAGCGUUGUGCGGAAUCACUGGGCGUAAAGGGUGCGUAGGCUGUUUCGUAAGUCGUGUGUGAAAGUCGCGGGCUCAACCCGCGGACGGCACAUGAUACUGCGAGACUAGAGUAAUGGAGGGGGAACCGGAAUUCUCGGUGUAGCAGUGAAAUGCGUAGAUAUCGAGAGGAACACUCGUGGCGAAGGCGGGUUCCUGGACAUUAACUGACGCUGAGGCACGAAGGCCAGGGGAGCGAAAGGGAUUAGAUACCCGUGUAGUC
rnacentral:rRNA from 1 species